rnacentral:lncRNA from 1 species
CCUUUUCUUCUUUGUCUCUCUCAUUUUUCUCCUUUCCUUCUUCAACUUUGAUUUUCCAAAUCAAACUCUACAAAACUUUUAGUAAGUGAAAAUCAAAUUCUUCUUUUAAGCUUGAAAGAUUUGGGCUUUCUUAAUCAAGGAAAACAAAGGUGAGUAAUUUUAAUUGCUUGAUUUUGCUGUAAAUUAGGGUUAAUGAUAUGAAAUUGUUGAUGAUUAUGUGUUUUGGAAUUGUUUAAUCAAGAGUAAACAUGCUUUUACUUGUGAUCUUGAAGCUGAAAUUUCUGGGCAGAUUUUUCACUUAUGAUUUCGUGACCUUAGAGGCUUUAUCUCGAAAAUUUUCAAACAUGAAAGUUGUAGGUAUAUGUCUCAAGAAUAUCUCUGUAAAAUGGUUUUGCAGAUUGUUGAGUGAGUAGGAACUUAUGAGGUUCGAUUUUGCUGUUGCUCUGUUUUUGGUUCAGCAGGUGACCUGGUUUUUGUGCUGACAUUUUGAGGCAUUUAGAGGCUGAACCAAGCAGAGAGUUAAACAUGAAAGUUGUUCAUUUAUAUAUGUAGUAUAUGUCUGAAAAAUUUCAUAAUUUUUGGUUGAGUAUAACGUGAGAUAUGUUGAACUUAAUAUGGCCUGCCCGAAACUGUUUUAAGCAGAAAUCGGGCUUAGGAUUUAGAAAUUUGUUGCUAAUUGUGUGUUUCACAACUUGAGCUAGAAAAGUCCAAAUUGAGUAAAAUUAGUGUCUAUAGAAACUUUAGAAUGUUAACUUUAUAUCUGGAGAGUUUCAUCAGAAAAUUCAUUUGUUUGAUUGGUCAUUUAAUAGGAAACUUUUUUCUGUUCUGUUUAGAUAGAAAUUUGAGCAGCUGUAUAGAAAAUACCAUAACUAUUUCUAUACCAAUGAUUUUGAGGUGAUUCUUUCUGCUAUGGUUUCUAUAAAAAUGGAAGUGUAAUUCUGGAAAAUAUGAGAUUUUUAUUAAUUGUACAUAAGUUUUGGUGUAAUUUCUAAGUCAGUACCUACAAGCUGCCUUCAUCAACAAAUAUGUUGAUUUGUUGUCAUUCAUCUCAUGCAUCAUAUUAAUAUCUAGAAUAUAUGUUAUUUUGUUGAAAUGUGAUAUUUUAUUGAUAGUAAAUAUAUAUAUAUAUAUAUAUAUAUAUAUAUAUAUAUAUAUAUAUAUAUAUAUAUAUAUAUAUAUAUAUAUAUAUUUAUGCCUUGUGAUUGAAUUGUAUUUGUAUUGAAUAUGUGAAUAGGUUCAUCCAAAGGCAAGGAAGUGGUAAGAGAAAAAGAAUAGGAUUACUUUAUUAUCCUAUAACUUCUGGUAAGUAUUUAAUAGACUAAACUUUGUGUAUAUUGAGUAGGGACUGCUGUUUGAUUACUUGAUAAUUUCUUGGUUGACUGAGUUGAUAUUAGUUAUGUUUUUGGCUUGUUAUAAAGUGAAUUGAUUGUGAUGUGUUGUGAAGUGAAUUGAUUGUGAUGUGUUGUGAAGUGAAAUGAUUGUGAUUAAGGAUUGAUGACUUUUGUAUGGAUAUUGUGUGAUCGGGAAAGCUGAGCCGGGCGGAUAGCUACCCGAGUAUGUGAGAUGGCAAGACUGAGCCGGGCGGAUAGUCUUGUCAAGUGGUUACUGAAAUUUAAAAAUAUGAGGAAAUGUAAGGAUGAGUCAUCUGAUCCUAAUUUGAUAGAAAUAAUGUGGAAUUGAAUUAUUUGACUUGGUUGAGUUUGAGAUUAUUUGCAUUACGUGAGAUGAAAUUAUAUGUUUAUGAGAAUAACUGAAAUGGUUGAUUUUGUGAUUGUUAGUUAAGUGUUGGUAUAAUUUUCUGUAUUGAUAAAGAUUUGAUAAUUCUAGCCUAAUAUACUAUAGUUUAGUAAAUUAAAUGCUUAUUGAGUCGCUAGCUCAUUCCUUAGCAAUUCUUUUUUUCAGGUUAGUGCAGUUGUAGAUAGCCUUAGCUGUGCAUUGCUCUUUUUGCAUCAGUCAAUAUUAUCAGGUGGGCCAGAGGAGUUAUCUAAAGCAUUAGGGCAUUUUGGGAACUUGUGUGAAUUAAACUACUUUAUAAAUAUUUCUUAUAUAUAUUAAGUAUGUCAUGCCACUUAAAUUGUAUGAAUGUAUAUUGUAACUAAGUAGUAAAUUAUGUUUAUAAAGUUAUAUAUAUAUAUAUAUAUAUAUAUAUAUAUUGCUAUUCAAUGGGAAGUUUGAGUUGGGG